rnacentral:rRNA from 1 species
GUCUCCUACGGGGCGCAGCAGUGAGGAAUAUUGGUCAAUGGGCGAGAGCCUGAACCAGCCAAGCCGCGUGAGGGAAGACGGCCCUAUGGGCUGUAAACCUCUUUUGUCGGAGAACAAAACCCGGGGCGAGUCCCGGACUGCGUGUAUCCGAAGAAAAAGCAUCGGCUAACUCCGUGCCAGCAGCCGCGGUAAUACGGAGGAUGCGAGCGUUAUCCGGAUUUAUUGGGUUUAAAGGGUGCGUAGGCGGUCCGUUAAGUCAGCGGUAAAAUUGCGGGGCUCAACCCCGUCGAGCCGUUGAAACUGGC